UACGAAGGGUGCAAGCGUUACUCGGAAUUACUGGGCGUAAAGCGCGCGUAGGCGGUUCGUUAAGUCUGAUGUGAAAGCCCUGGGCUCAACCUGGGAAUGGCAUUGGAUACUGGCGACCUAGAGUGCGGUAGAGGGGUGUGGAAUUCCCGGUGUAGCAGUGAAAUGCGUAGAUAUCGGGAGGAACAUCGGUGGCGAAGGCGACACCCUGGGCCAGCACUGACACUGAGGCACGAAAGCGUGGGGAGCAAACAGG
rnacentral:rRNA from 1 species